rnacentral:rRNA from 1 species
GACGAACGCUGGCGGCGUGCCUAAUACAUGCAAGUCGAACGGACAGGCCCCUCUGUGGCUACUCGAGCGGUGGACGGGGGGGUAACACGGGAGUAACCAUCCCUUGACUACCGGACUACUUCAGGAAACUGAGGCUAGUACCGGAUAGGUAUCAUUGCUUCAUGGUGGGGGUUGGAAAGUUACGGCGGUUUUGGAUGGACUGUCGGGCUAUCAGCUUGUUGGUGGGGUAGUGGCUUACCAAGGCUGUGGCGGGUAGGCGACCUGGGAGGGCGACCGGCCACCAUGGGACUGAGGGACGGCCCAGACGGGGACGGGCGGCAAAAGUGGGGAAUAUUGCCGGAGGGGCGGAAGCCGGAUGCGGAAGGUCUGCGUGCGGGAUGACGGCCUUCGGGUUGAAAACCGCUUUCAGCAGGGGCGAUGCAUGUGGUGACGGUACCUGCAGAGAAAGCACCGGCUAACUACGUG